rnacentral:rRNA from 1 species
GAUGAACGCUGGCGGCGUGCCUAAUACAUGCAAGUCGAGCGAACAGACGAGGAGCUUGCCCCUUUGACGUUAGCGGCGGACAGGUGAGUAAAACGUAGGUAACCUACCUAUAAGACUGGGAUAAAUUCGGGAAAACGGUGCUAAAAACGGAUAAUAUUUCCAACAGCAUGGUUCGAUAGUGAAAGAUGGCUUUGCUAUCACUUAUAGAUGGACCUGCGCCGUAUUAGCUAGUUGGUAAGGUAACGGCUUACCAAGGCAACGAUACGUAGCCGACCUGAGCGGGUGAUCGGCCACACUGGAACUGAGACACGGUCCAGACUCCUACGGGAGGCAGCAGUAGGGAAUCUUCCGCAAUGGGCGAAAGCCUGACGGAGCAACGCCGCGUGAGUGAUGAAGGUCUUCGGAUCGUAAAACUCUGUUAUUAGGGAAGAACAAACGUGUAAGUAACUGUGCACGUCUUGACGGUACCUAAUCAGAAAGCCACGGCUAACUACGUG